GCCCGAUUAGCUCAGCUGGUUAGAGCGUCGUACUAAUACUGGGGAAACCAGCAUAUGGUAAUGCGAAGGUCAACAGUUCAAUCCUGUUAUUGGGCA